GGACGGACGGUAUACUUGAGCGAGCCGUUAUUCGUUACUCGUUAGUUAUCACGGUCGGUACGGUGUCCGCGUAAAAAAACGCGAAUUUAAAAAUCGAACGUCGACGUACUAACUUUGUGAAUUUGGGUUUUCAGUGCAGUGUUAUUAUUUAAGUUGUGAAUGCGAUGUGUCAAUGGAUUGUGCGUAAGCGCACGGUCAUUCAUAAACUCGUGUUAGGUACAUUACAAAUUCAGGAAGCGCGUUUUUUGUAUGAACACGAAUCG